CCUACGGGAGGCAGCAGUGGGGAAUAUUGCGCAAUGGGCGAAAGCCUGACGCAGCGACGCCGCGUGAGGGAUGAAGGUCUUCGGAUCGUAAACCUCUGUCAGCAGGGAAGAACGGUCACUGUGCUAAUCAGCAGUGAAUUGACGGUACCUGCAAAGGAAGCACCGGCUAACUCCGUGCCAGCAGCCGCGGUAAUACGGAGGGUGCGUGCGUUAAUUGGAAUUACUGGGCGUAAAGCUCUCGUAGGCGGUAUGUCAGUUGAAGGGUGAAACCCCCGCGCUCAAAGUGGGAACUGCCUUUGAAACGGGCAAACUGGAGUGUGUGAGAGGAUAGUGGAAUUCGAGGUGUAGGAGUGAAAUCCGUAGAU
rnacentral:rRNA from 1 species